GUGUAUUGUAAUAUUAUUGAGGUUAGGUCGUAUUGUUUAUUACACUCUCACAUUUCUCUCUCUUUCUACGAUCUUCUCUUUAGUGUCGCUGACUCCCUCUAUCACUGAUCACUCAUGUGGCGUCGACCAUCUCCUCCAGCCAAGCUUUGAGACUGCUAGAUACCAGGAGGUUGCAAAGAAAUUUGACAGGUUUUCACUCAAGCUCAGUUGGAUGACUGAGAGGUUUGUCAUCCAGUAAUGACAAGAAUCAUGAGGCUCCAUCUAAAAACUAAUUGGAACUUACUGACUUUCCUUUUCUUCCUUUCAUGUGAAGCCACAAAAUUUCCCAGCUUUUACAUACCAACUUUUUAGAGUCAAGGAACACACCAAACUACCAUUUAUAGCUUAACAGAGGAAUAUAAGAGAUAAUGUAUCUAUCAUUAUUAUCUGGAAUGUUGUUGUUAUAUUAAAUGCCAAUUUUUAUGACAUGUGUUUACUGUAUAUGGAAUAUUAUUAAAUAGAUAUGGAUAUGCAAAAAAAAACAAGAUUGUGAUGUAUCUUAUCAAAAACUUGUGGCAUUUACAAAUGAUGAGCAUGUGUAUGGUGAUGCAACUAUUAUUGUA